rnacentral:rRNA from 1 species
CGCGUAGGUGGUUUGGUAAGUCGGAUGUGAAAGCCCCGGGCUUAACCUGGGAAUUGCAUUCGAUACUGCUUGACUAGAGUAUGGUAGAGGGAAGUGGAAUUCCAGGUGUAGCGGUGAAAUGCGUAGAUAUCUGGAGGAACAUCAGUGGCGAAGGCGACUUCCUGGACCAAUACUGACGCUGAGGCGCGAAAGCGUGGGGAGCAAACA